UACGUAGGGUGCGAGCGUUAAUCGGAAUUACUGGGCGUAAAGCGUGCGCAGGCGGCUUUGCAAGACAGAUGUGAAAUCCCCGGGCUUAACCUGGGAACUGCAUUUGUGACUGCAUGGCUGGAGUGCGGCAGAGGGGGAUGGAAUUCCGCGUGUAGCGGUGAAAUGCGUAGAUAUUGGGAGGAACACCGGUGGCGAAGGCGGCUACCUGGACAGUGACUGACGCUGAGGCGCGAAAGCUAGGGGAGCGAACGGG
rnacentral:rRNA from 1 species